rnacentral:rRNA from 1 species
GACGUAGGGGGCAAGCGUUGUCCGGAUUUAUUGGGCGUAAAGAGCGUGUAGGCGGCCGCACAGGUCCGCUGUGAAAACUGGAGGCUCAACCUCCAGACGUCGACGUAAACCGUGUGGCUAGAGUCCGGAAGAGGAGAGUGGAAUUCCUGGUGUAGCGGUGAAAUGCGUAGAUAUCAGGAGGCACCCCUGCGGUGUAGACGGCUUACUGGACCAUGCCUGACGCUGAGGCACGAAAGCGUGGGGAGCAAACAGG